GCCGGGAUGGCGGAAUUGGUAGACGCACGGGACUCAAAAUCCCGCGGUGCUUGCACCAUGUCGGUUCGAGUCCGACUUCCGGCACCA
rnacentral:tRNA from 1 species